GACGAACGCUGGCGGCGUGCUUAACACAUGCAAGUCGAACGGAAAGGCCCUGCUUUUGUGGGGUGCUCGAGUGGCGAACGGGUGAGUAACACGUGAGUAACCUGACCUUGACUUUGGGAUAACUUCAGGAAACUGGGGCGAAUACCGGAUAGGAGCUCCUGCUGCUUGGUGGGGGUUGGAAAGUUUCGGCGGUUGGGGAUGGACUCGCGGCUUAGCCGCUUGUUGGGGGGGUAGUGGCUUACCAAGGCUUUGACGGGUGGCCGGCCUGAGAGGGUGACGGGCCACAUUGGGACUGAGAUACGGCCCAGAGUCGUGCGGGAGGCAGCAGGGGGGAAAAUUGCACAAUGGGCGGAAGCGUGAUGGAGCAACGCCGCGGGGGGGAUGACGGCCUUCGGGUGGGAAACAGCUUUGGCCUGUGUGGAGGCGUGAGUGACGGUAAUGGGUAAAGAAGCACCGGCUAAUUACGU
rnacentral:rRNA from 1 species